CCUACGGGAGGCUGCAGUGAGGAAUAUUGGUCAAUGGACGAGAGUCUGAACCAGCCAAGUAGCUUGAAGGUUGACUGCCCUAUGGGUUGUAAACUUCUUUUAUAUGGGAAUAAAAUGUUCCACGUGUGGGAUUUUGUAUGUCCCAUAUGAAUAAGGAUCGGCUAACUCCGUGCCAGCAGCCGCGGUAAUACGGAGGAUCCGAGCGUUAUCCGGAUUUAUUGGGUUUAAAGGGAGCGUAGGUGGAUUGUUAAGUCAGUUGUGAAAGUUUGCGGCUCAACCGUAAAAUUGCAGUUGAAACUGGCAGUCUUGAGUACAGUAGAGGUGGGCGGAAUUCGUGGUGUAGCGGUGAAAUGCUUAGAUAUCACGAAGAACUCCGAUUGCGAAGGCAGUUCACUGGACUGCAACUGACACUGAGGCUCGAAAGUGUGGGUAUCAAACAGGAUUAGAUACCCUUGUAGUC
rnacentral:rRNA from 1 species